rnacentral:tRNA from 1 species
UCCUCGGUAGUAUAAUGGUUAGUAUCCCCUUCUGUCGUGCGGGAGAAGAGGGGUUCAAUUCCCCGCUUGGGUG